rnacentral:rRNA from 1 species
GACGAACGCUGGCGGCGUGCUUAACACAUGCAAGUCGAACGGAAAGGCCCUGCUUUUGUGGCGUUCUCGAUUGGCGAACGGGUGAGUAACACGUGAGUAACCUGCCCUUGACUUUGGGAUAACUUCAGGAAACUGGGGCUAAUACCGGAGAGGAGCUCCUGCUGCAUGGUGGGGGUUGGAAAGUUUCGGCGGUUGGGGAUGGUCUCGCGGCUUAUCAGCUUGCUGGUGGGGUAGUGGCUUACCAAGGCUUUGACGGGUAGCCGGCCUGAGAGGGUGACCGGCCACAUUGGGACUGCGGUACGGACCAGAAUCCUACGGGCGGCAGCAGUGGGGAACAUUGCACAAUGGGCGGAAGCCUGAUGCAGCAACGCCGCGUGCGGGAUGACGGCCUUCGGGUUGUAAACCGCUUUCGACUGUGACGAAGCGUGAGUGACGGUAAUGGGUAAAGAAGCACCGGCUAACUACGUG